rnacentral:rRNA from 1 species
GAUGAACGCUAGCGGCAGGCCUAAUACAUGCAAGCUGAACGGCAAGAUUUGUAGCAAUACGAGUCCUAGAGUAGCGUAAGGGUGCGUAACACGUAUGCAAUCUGCCCGCAACAGGAGGAUAGCUUAGCGAAAGUUGAGAUAAGACUCCAUAAGAUCACGAGAGGGCAUCUGAUUGUGAUUAAACUACAAGGGGUUGCGGAUGAGCANGCGUCUGAUUAGUUAGUUGGCGGGGUAACGGCCACCAAGACGAUGAUCAGUAGGGGAACUGAGAGGUU